CGGGAAGUAGCUCAGCUUGGUAGAGCACUUGGUUUGGGACCAAGGGGUCGCAGGUUCGAAUCCUGUCUUCCCGAUUU
rnacentral:tRNA from 1 species